rnacentral:lncRNA from 1 species
AGGGAUUGAAGUGAUGAUAAAAAAAAUGACCAAAAUCAAAAUAAGAGUUUAUGUCUUUUUCCACAAGUAUAGGAUAAAGAAGAAAGGAAGAUAUUCAGAGAUAAAAAUAAAAGGAAGAUGAGUGAUAAGAAGAGUUGGGAGGAUAAACAAGGAACGACUUAUAAAUAAGCCACACUAAGUACAUAUAAAAGGAUGACGGCAUAAAAAAACACGAGGAAAGAAACCAUAGAAAAAAAAGAGAGAGAAAACUAGAGAGAUAUAAAAAUAUUUAGAUGAAUGACUUAUAAAUAAGCCACACUAGGUACAUAGAAAAGGAUGACAACAUAAAAAAAAAACAUAAGGAAAGAAACCAUAGAAAAAAAGAGAGAGAAAACUAAAGAGAUAUAAAAAUAUUUAGAUGGGAGUAGCCUAUGAAAAUUAAAACACAAAAAAAAAAUCAUGAAAGAACACACAAAGAAAACAUAGAGAAAACAAAGAAACUAGAUAAAAAAAAAAUUUUGCUAAAAAAAAAAGAAGAAAAAAUACUCUAUCCUAAGAAGCCACCAACGUUGCCCCCUUCAUCACCCAUCAUAAUCAGAAAAAAAGAUAGCAGGGACAACCCCACAACAAUUAUAACUAGCAUUAGUCACUUUCCCCUCUCUUGUUGGAGAAACGCAAUAAAAACCAACCUCUAGCGAUGGUGAACCAAUAGAGAGAGAGGAAAUUCAUUGAAGCUUCAUGAGGCUUUACCUCAUGUUUUAGGCGAUAUUGAUCCCCACCCCCGACUUAGAGGUAAAUAAAGUGUCGAUACAUUCUAUCUUGCUAUUCACACGCCCUCUAAGUUAUCAGAGUGUGUAAAUCUAUAACCUACAGUUUGCCCAGCUUCUAGCUUGUGCAAGACAUGCACCACUACUAUCUUUGUUUGCCUUGCUCCUACCGCAUGCUCGCCUUUCGCCACCAC